AUUAGGUAGAUCAGAGUCCUAAAAGCCCUCUUGUUUCAUUAUUGCGUAUAUUUUUCCUUGUGGGGAUUUUAAAGAAUUUGAUGGUAUAGUCAGAGAUAAUGUAAAAAGCAAUGUCUGGUAAUAAUUUAUUAAUGUGAUUAGUUCUAUGGAAGACUCAGGGAACAAUUACUUUUAGGGGGUCCAUUGGGUAUAGGUGUGUAAGUGGAUAGAAGAAGGGGUGCUCAUGUUGUCAGUGAUUGUGGUAAAAGCUAUGUUGUACCAAGGGAGUCUUAACAUUUCAUUCAUGAUUGAAAGUAAUCAAGAAAAGCUGGUGUUUCAGUCAGGAUUCAUUUGGUUAUAAAUGAUGACAAAACAAAUCAGACUGUCUUUAAAAAAGAUAACAUUUAUUGACACAUGUAAUUGAAAAUUCUAGUUCUUCAGGCAUAGUUGAAUCCAGGUGCUCAAAUCAUGUUACCACGUUGGAGUCACUCUAAGGAAUGCUUUUUCUAAAUGGUAGUAAAGAAGGUCUCUGGCAACUCAAGGCUUUUGUAGCUCUUACAACUUAACAUUUUAGAGAACCCAGAAUACAUUCUUUUCUAAAAGCUUCAGCAAAAUUCCUGGAGGUUAUUCUCAUUGGGCUUAUUUAGGUCAUUUAAUUAUCCCCAAACCAUUAACUGUGGCCAGAAGGAGGAUGUGUUCUAAUUAUCCAGGUCUGGGCAAUAUUCUUAGCCCUGGAACUGAGAGGUAAGGUCAACUCCAAGUGUUGAUUAAAAAUGGUGGCAGAGUGGUUUCUUUCAGGAGAGCUUCAAGACCUGUUUCAUUACGAUUGCUUAUUAGUCUUCUGGGAUCCUAGGAGCAAAGAGUGGGAUGCUUCCUGAAUAGAGAUUUGGGUGGGAAAUUUGAAUCGAGACCCAUUUUGCCAUUUUCACUAAAUGAUCAUGGGCGGGUACUUUCUCUCAUGGGGUCUGAGAUUCCUUAUUUGUAAAGUGAAGAGCUUGGAUGAGGUGAUUCUGAUAAUCCUAUCUGGCUCAAAGCUUCUACAGUUUUCUCUUUACCCUUGCUAGAAGGAUUAUUGUAAACAUCCAGGGGGAAAAAGUAUGUAAUGUGCUCCAAACUGGAGGGAUUUCUGACUCUCAUGUUGAUGGUGAUGAUGAUGACAGCAGUCCUGCACUCUAUUAGAAACAGCCCCCGGUCCUCACUGCUCUCAGAGACUCUGCUUUAGAGCUCUUCCUCUCACUUUCCCCAACGCUCAUCAGCAAUGCUGGCAAGACACAUUCUGGCUGCUGUAAGGUCACUGGGAUAAAUGGGAAGGUUGGCCGAUUGCCUGAAAAUGAGUUUGGCUUAAAAGUUUCUUGCCCAAGAAAUGGAAAGAAAAAACCUGCUGGGAUAGCCAAGGGGAAAGAGAAGAGUGAGUGACCUCUUUAUAAAGAACUGCAGCCCUGGAAAUCUGACUAAUGGCUGAAGAGGGUACGUGAUGAUAACUCACAGCGGCCACUUGGAUUUAAUUAUAGCAACAUUUGCAGACAAUAAGUGGGUCUUGAGUGAAGCCUGCCUAUGAUAUGGCAGUGACAAAAGCUAAUCUGGAUUUCUAGCCAAAAGGAUGGAUGAGAAAUGACUUGGGAACAUUUCCUGUAGAAUAUUUUUGUUGUUGUUGUUAUCACCAUGGCCAAAUAUUUAUUAAGGUUCUUGGGGUGAAGAUGGUACUGUUCUAAAUUGUGGAAAGAGAAGUGGACUUGGAAUUAGAAAACCUGGGUUUACUUCUGGAGAUUUUACUUAUUCACUGGAUCUCAUUUUCAUUAUUUCAAAAUAGAAGCUGUGUUCUUUGCGGUCUUGAAAAUUAGUAAUUUUGAGACUACAGGUUCGGCUAAGGGCUGCUGCAGUACCUGAAGAUAUCAACAGUAAAGACUACAAAACAGCAAAGAUGGUGAUCUGCCCCUUCUUUUGGGAGCUCCAGGCCAGAUGUUUUAUCCUGCUAUGUUAAGUCAUCUUGACAUGUUGCCAUGAAAUGGAAACAACUGCUCGUUUUAAUAUUGCUCCAUAUCUUUAUUACAAGGUACGUCUCAUGCAUCUUAAUUCCUCGUAUUUUCCCUCACUGUCGUUCUCUGAUCUUCUUCAUCCCAACCCCCCUUUACUCCUGAAGAAGGCAUAUUGUAAUUGCAUGACAGUCGUGUCCCGGUAGCUAAAGAGGUUCUAGAUAGCAUAAUGAAUAUGCAGCGUAUUAUCUCCCAGGAUGUGUGCCUGUGUCUUUAAUCACAGCUGGAAUGCAAAAUCGAGCUCCACCUUUCAACUCUAUCUCCAUCAUGCUGAGAGAGUGAGAGAGAGCGAGACGGAGACUGCUAGACAGCUCGAAAGAGAUUGCAGCUCAGAUGUCCUGAAAAACAGCAAAUCCCUCAGACCUGGCAGAUUCCGUUACCAUGAGAACUGCAGAUAUUUCCAUUGUGAUGGUUCGCUCCAACAGCCAUCUGUUACACCCAUUUGAUUAGGAAGUACAGUUCAGCUUGCAUGGGAUUUUCAUCACACCUUAUCCCAGGGCAGUAUAUAGAGGCGCUUGCUUUUUUAUAUGCUAAACUCCAAGGGUUCAAAGUACUGUAAUUUACCAAGGUGGAGGGCAUUUAAUGAAAUGUAUGAGAAGGUCACUAAAGACCGAAGUGCCGAGAAGAAAUACACACAGGAGAUGUAAGAGAGGAUUAGACUCCACAGCUGAAAUGCAACCAACUCUGAAAAUUAACCAAGUUUAGCCAACCCUUCCCUUGGUAGAGAAAAGUAAAAUGAAGACCUGGGAUCUGAGAUCUUGCAUCCUGAAGGGUGGAAGAUGUAUUUGUGCAGUCAUGGCAUGAGUAUUACUGGAGCAGUAAUUCUUUCUCAGGACUCAAGGACAGUCAAAAGAAAGGGAGAGAGAGGUAGUGCCUCAGACACAUCUCAUCAGUGGAGAUGAAUCCACUGUAUAAAGAUUACAUUAGCUCUAAAAAUUUUAUGAUGCCAUCUAACUUUUCUGUAGACACAAAACGACCUUAAAAGUUCCUUGAAGCAGUGCUGUAAUUCACAGAUUUAAACCAGUUAUUUGGACUAGUUGCCCCUCUGUGUAUUUUUGUGGGGGAGGAAAUGCUGAUGGUACAUCAUAUAGACAUAAAAAUAGGAAUUUCCUUCAAUUAAGAUUCUCCGAAUACCCUUCCCUGGUGGUAGGCAUUCUAAGUCCAGGCUUCCAAGAGGGCCAGCAUGGUCUAGGAGGAGCUACCUAGAGUGUCUUAAAUUGACUGGAGCUCCUGUAAACCUGGGAAGCUAAUUAAAUGCUUACACACCAACAUGAUUUUGUGAUUGCUGCACAGGGGCCCUUGAUGUGGCCUCCCUUUGUUUUCCAGCCUACUUUUUCUAGGAUGGACUCUGAUAGUAUAUAACUCAGGUUGCGUGAAAGCAGCCAAAUUUUCCAAAGUUGCUAAGUUUGCAAGUCUCAUUAUAUCACAUUUUGUCUGUUGGUUUGUUUUCUGGGUGACUGUUUCUGAACAAGGGAAAUGCUCUCCCUAUCUGAUUGCACUGAGGGCUGAAGAACUUUUCAUCUACUCUCCUUCCUGGCCUGGUGUCAGGUUGCCAUCCAGGUAGGCUGGGAUGUCAGAAGAAACCAGAAAACUCAUUCCCUGCUUUAAUGCCAAAGAUGUAUUUGUGGUGUGAAAGAAAAAAUUCUUCAUGGCACUUGUUCAAGAUGGUAAGGCAGACAUUAUUCAAGUGGGGCUAUGGUGAUGGGCAUAGGGCCCACUGGAACAGGGUCUUGCAGUAGGGGAGAGAGACUGAGCUGGACUCCGACUCCGACAAAGACAAGUGGGGAUUUAUAACCGAGGAGCAGGGUGGGGGCCGGUAGAUGGAAAAUUGCUAAAAGGAAAACAGGGGGGAUUAGGGGGAUUCUUGCUAGACUGACUCAGUAGAAUUCUUGUUGAAGGCAGACCAGGGUGAUAAGAUGUAGAGGGUGGUCAGAAACAAAGGGUGGGGAUUUUCAGUGACUGACUUAGCAGGAUUCCUUCUCAAACUGGAUUCCAAAGGAGAGAGAGGGAAGUCCAAUGUUGUCCUAGUCAGAAAGGAUUCAGAGGAGCCUGACCCAAGUUUGGUCACAAAAGAGAGUCUUUGUCACUGGCCAGAUAAAAUCAGUAACGAGGACCAUGGAGAUUAAAAAUCAGAACAAGAUGUUGUUCCUUUUUUUUUGCUGAAACAUAGUGGAUUCUUCUACUCUGCAGUGGAAAGACUCAGACUUCACAGAUGAGGACCUGUGUUUUCCUUGAAUGAGGAACCAACUAGUUUAGCCAGCAACUGAAGGUAUAAAUGAGUCUCCGUCCCUCCUUUGCAAGUCGAAAGUUAGGAGGCUCUGCUCCUCCAUCCUAGCAGCAAAUGCCUGGCACUGCAGAUCCUCCAGUGGUGUUGACUUUCUGUCAGUCGUACACCCUGGAGAUUGCCCUUUCUCGAAGGUUUUGAGGCAGGGCUCUGGUUUUAUGAACACAGCGUCUGUCUUUGAAAGGCAGCAGAUGCAAUGAGGGCCUGAAUUGAAACAAUAAAUACUAUUCAGGUUUCCUGCUCGGAACUUCUUAUAUAGUGGUUCCUUUGUUAGAGCAAACAUGGACUAAAAUGCCUUCUCCCUUCCUCCCCGCUCCCUCCAGCUCCUCUCCACAGCUAGGAUCUCAGCCACCUUUGGAAAGCAAAGGUUAAGUACCUGAGGCAGAAAGAGUUGAAACACAAAGGAGAGGAAAUCCAAAGUAUCCCUUACUUGCCAGAAAGAGUGUGAGUAGGGCAGAGAGCUUUUGGGGAGGGGGAUGAAUUUUAGUUGAAGCUGGAAGAGAAACAGACCUUGGAGGGGAGUGCUAGCUAGAAAUAUUCUCCUCCGAGCUGGGAUGUUAACAGUGGCACCUUCUGACUUAAUGUGGCAUCUUUCUUCAUCGUUAUCAAUCUCAUGAGAGCUUUCCUGCCAUCUGCACUAUUCCUGCUUCAGGCUCCCAUAUGAAAGUCCAAUCUGGCAGCAUAAAUACUGGCUAAUGAAGAGUAGAUGUCUGACUGCCUGGGAGAGAAGCGAUCCUGUGUCAUUGAUGGAGCAGAAUUCAUUCAUUUAAAACAAAAUCUGCAUUUACACAGCCAUUCAAGAAGAAAUUCUCUCCCCUUCUCUCUCUCUCUUUUUUCCCCUCCCUAUACUCUCUCAUCCUCCUUUUUUAUUUUCUUCCUGUGUCAUUCUACAUGAAUGGAGUUCAUGCAAAAGUCAGCAUAAAAAUGGUCUUUGCCCAGAAUGUUAUACCUUGGAGAUUAAAAAUAGGAAUGCGAUGUGGACUUGCCGACAUGUGGUGGGCUAUUUUUUUCCCCUUCAGUGGGAAAGCUAUAACUACAUAGAUUAGCAAAACUUGUGCAAGAAUGGAUGUAAAACAGAUUUAUCUCUGUGUCAGCUUUAUCUGAUCCAUUUGGUCUUGCAGAGUUUGGAUGGCUUCCUUUGUUACAAUAACCAGCUUUCAAACAUCUAUAUCCCCAGGGUAUUAAAUGUCAGCCUCCCAUGUACCAGUCAAGGAUAGAGGGUUGGCAGUCUGUGGGCUGGAGGAGUACUCUUUGUGUGCACAUGAGAGGAGUUGCUCCUGUACCAAGGCUGGCUCCUGGUAUGACCUAGAGGAACUCCUACAACCUCCCUGCAUCACAGCAUCACAGUGGAGGGGUGCUGAAGCUUGCAGCAGCCAUUAAUAUCCUUUUACAAAGAAUUCAAAAAGAUUUCCUGUCACUGACAAGGACAGAUUUGUUAGAGGUCUCUCAAGGAAAUGGACAAUAACUAAUUAAUUGAGCACUCCAUGACUUUCUGUACUGUCGUUUUUCAUUUAUCUGUUCUAGUUUCUCAUCAUGCAGGUCUAGCUCUUCUUUUUCUUUCAUUCCUUCUUUUAUCUACCUCUUUCAUUAUUUCUGUCACCCUCUCCUUUCCCCUCUUAUCUCAUUUUCUCCCAGAUCUCUUCUCUUUCUCUUUUAUAUAAUCUAUACGUAAAAAAAAAAAAGAUCCCUAGUAGAGUACACAUAUGUAAAGAUUUUAUCCUGGAAUAUGGGUACAUUUUCUCUGAGUCUGAUAACUGUCAUCUUUUAGGGUUGGAAUAGGCCUCAGAAGUUUCCUCUUUGUACUUGAUAGAUACAUAAUCUUCAACAUCCUUGACAAGGUAUUGCAAAGUUUUUGUUAAAAAAAAUCCUACUGUGCCCAAGUGGUGCAUUAUUAUUAUUAUUACUAUUAUGACUAUCCAGGAAUGAUAUACUCUGUGUGCUGUAGAAAAUAAGGAACCAUGUUGUCUCAAUUUACAGAAAAAUUAUUGAGUGCCUGUCUAAUUAAAUGGCAUUUCAUCAGACCCUGCAAGCAGUUCUGUGGCUCUUGAAUGCUAAAUGUAGAUAUUGCCUUAUCCUCAUAACUGUGCUGCCUGGCUCACUGGGUUGGAGCAGGGUGCCAGUGAGCUCAAGGUCUCCUGCUCCUUCUGUCACUUCUGCACACGGAGAAUUGGAGUUCCUUAGUAUGCACUACCUCUGUUCUCAUGCCUGUCUAUGUGAAGAAACACAGGGCAUGGAGUGAGGUUGUUGGAGAGAGAGAGUUUUAGAUAAAAGCAGACAGACCUGGGAUUGAAUCCUGGCUCUACCACUUUCUUUGUGUAUGUGGCCUUUAGCAAUCAGUGGACCCCCUUCGUGCCUCAAUGUUGUCAUCAGAAAAGUAGGGAUACCAGUAUCUUGACUCACAGUAAACUCAUGGUGUGAAUCAAAUGAAGUAAGUCUUGAAGUGUUAGAAACUGAGUGCUGACUCUAGAGUGACCAACUGUCCUGGUUUCCUGGAGAGUGACAGGCUGCUAGAAACACAAGACUUUAAGUGCUAAAACCAGGACAGUCCUGGGAAAACUGGGGUGGUCAGUCAUCUUACUCAGGGCAACUUAUCCCCUUUGGAGGACCCAGACACAGCUUAAACAAGUACCCCAAGGGGUGAUGGAACUUUCUCUGUGGUUGAAGAAGGUCUUGUUUUCUUCUGUGGACUAGUUGCCUGCUCUAUUGCGGAUUUAUGUAUGGAUUCUUUUUUUUUUUUUUAUUUUCAACUUUUAUUUUAAG
rnacentral:lncRNA from 1 species